rnacentral:rRNA from 1 species
AGUGAACGCUGGCGGUAGGCCUAACACAUGCAAGUCGAACGGCAGCACAGUAAGAGCUUGCUCUUACGGGUGGCGAGUGGCGGACGGGUGAGGAAUACAUCGGAAUCUACUUUUUCGUGGGGGAUAACGUAGGGAAACUUACGCUAAUACCGCAUACGACCUACGGGUGAAAGCAGGGGAUCUUCGGACCUUGCGCGAUUGAAUGAGCCGAUGUCGGAUUAGCUAGUUGGCGGGGUAAAGGCCCACCAAGGCGACGAUCCGUAGCUGGUCUGAGAGGAUGAUCAGCCACACUGGAACUGAGACACGGUCCAGACUCCUACGGGAGGCAGCAGUGGGGAAUAUUCGACAAUGGGCGCAAGCCUGAUCCAGCCAUACCGCGUGUGUGAAGAAGGCCUUCGGGUUGUAAAGCCCUUUUGUUGGGAAAGAAAAGCAGCAGGUUAAUACCCCGCUGUUCUGACGGUACCCAAAGAAUAAGCACCGGCUAACUUCGUG